rnacentral:rRNA from 1 species
UACGUAGGUGGCAAGCGUUGUCCGGAUUUACUGGGCGUAAAGAGCUCGUAGGCGGUUUGUCGCGUCUGCUGUGAAAUCCCGAGGCUCAACCUCGGGCUUGCAGUGGGUACGGGCAGACUAGAGUGCGGUAGGGGAGACUGGAAUUCCGUGGUGUAGCGGUGGAAUGCGCAGAUAUCAGGAGGAGCACCGAUGGCGAAGGCAGGUCUCUGGGCCGCAACUGACGCUGAGGAGGCGAAAGCAUGGGGAGCGAACAGG